rnacentral:rRNA from 1 species
UACGUAGGGAGGCAAGCGUUGUCCGGAUUUACUGGGCGUAAAGAGCGUGUAGGCGGUUCGUUAAGUCCGCAUGUGAAAUCUCUGGGCUCAACUCAGAGGUAGUCGGUGGAAACUAGCGAACUUGAGGACGGUAGAGGGGGGUGGAAUUCCCGGUGUAGUGGUGAAAUGCGUAGAGAUCGGGAGGAACACCAGCGGCGAAGGCGGCCCCCUGGGCCGCUCCUGGACGCUGAGACGCGAAGGCCAGGGUAGCGAACGGG